rnacentral:rRNA from 1 species
AGUGAACGCUGGCGGUAGGCCUAACGCAUGCAAGUCGAACGGCAGCACAGGAGAGCUUGCUCUUUGGGUGGCGAGUGGCGGACGGGUGAGGAAUACAUCGGAAUCUACUUUUUCGUGGGGGAUAACGUAGGGAAACUUACGCUAAUACCGCAUACGACCUACGGGUGAAAGCAGGGGAUCUUCGGACCUUGCGCGAUUGAAUGAGCCGGUGUCGGAUUAGCUGGUUGGCGGGGUAAAGGCCCACCAAGGCGACGAUCCGUAGCUGGUCUGGAAGUAUGCACAGCCACACGGGAACUGAAGCACGGUCCAGACUCCUACGGGAGGAAGCAGUGGGGAAUAUUGGACAAUGGGCGCAAGCCUGAUCCAGCCAUACCGCGUGGGUGAAGAAGGCCUUCGGGUUGUAAAGCCCUUUUGUUGGGAAAGAAAUCCAGCUGGUUAAUACCCGGUUGGGAUGACGGUACCCAAAGAAUAAGCACCGGCUAACUUCGUGCCAGCCGCCGCCGUAA